rnacentral:tRNA from 1 species
GCGGAGGUGGCAGAGCGGUCUAAUGCGCCAGCUUGGAGAGCUGGUGUCCGAAAGGACUCGCGAGUUCAAAUCUCGUCCUCCGCG